AUGCGGGUCAAUGCGGAAGGGGAUUUUUCUCUUCCGUAUUUGGUAAAUGGUAAUCGAGCGUUGUCCCGACUGAUCUAUCUUUCCAUGGUGAUUCGUGAGGAAACACAGCAGCUGAUGGCCGCUCCUGCAUACAGUUCAUCUUCUUGUUCUGAACUUCUGACGGUGGUCAUGAAGAACAGGGCAGCUUUGGGGUUCCUUGAUUAUUUUUUAAUUAUAAAUGCCGCACAUCAAUCUUUGGUCUUGUGUGGGCAUGGGAAUAUAUGUGGGGUACAUGCAAACAAUUAUGAUCUUGCUCCAGCACAAAUUGUUCUAGUAUCUGUUCUUUGUCCGUUUGUUCAGAAAACAACACUUCUCCUUUAA
rnacentral:rRNA from 1 species